UACGAAGGGGGCUAGCGUUGCUCGGAAUCACUGGGCGUAAAGGGUGCGUAGGCGGGUUUUUAAGUCAGGGGUGAAAUCCUGGAGCUCAACUCCAGAACUGCCUUCGAUACUGGCGGCCUUGAGUCCGGGAGAGGUGAGUGGAACUGCGAGUGUAGAGGUGAAAUUCGUAGAUAUUCGCAAGAACACCAGUGGCGAAGGCGGCUCACUGGCCCGGUACUGACGCUGAGGUGCGAAAGCGUGGGGAGCAAACAGGGU
rnacentral:rRNA from 1 species